ACUCCUACGGGAGGCAGCAGUGGGGAAUAUUGCACAAUGCGCGCAAGCCUGAUGCAGCCAUGCCGCGUGUGUGAAGAAGGCCUUCGGGUUGUAAAGCACUUUCAGUCGUGAGGAAGGUAGNGUAGUUAAUAGCUGCAUUAUUUGACGUUAGCGACAGAAGAAGCACCGGCUAACUCCGUGCCAGCAGCCGCGGUAAUACGGAGGGUGCGAGCGUUAAUCGGAAUUACUGGGCGUAAAGCGCAUGCAGGUGGUUUGUUAAGUCAGAUGUGAAAGCCCGGGGCUCAACCUCGGAUUGCAUUUGAAACUGGCAGACUAGAGUACUGUAGAGGGGGGUAGAAUUUUCAGGUGUAGCGGUGAAAUGCGUAGAGAUCUGAAGGAAUACCGGUGGCGAACGGNGGCCCCCUGGACAGAUACUGACACUCAGAUGCG
rnacentral:rRNA from 1 species